rnacentral:rRNA from 1 species
GACGAACGCUGGCGGCGUGCUUAACACAUGCAAGUCGAACGGAAAGGCCCUGCUUUUGUGGGGUGCUCGAGUGGCGAACGGGUGAGUAACACGUGAGUAACCUGCCCUUGACUUUGGGAUAACUUCAGGAAACUGGGGCUAAUACCGGAUAGGAGCUCCUGCUGCAUGGUGGGGGUUGGAAAGUUUCGGCGGUUGGGGAUGGACUCGCGGCUUAUCAGCUUGUUGGUGGGGGAGUGGCUUACCAAGGCUUUGACGGGUAGCCGGCCUGAGAGGGUGACCGGCCCCAUUGGGACUGAGAUACGGCCCAGACUCCUACGGGAGGCAGCAGUGGGGAAUAUUGCACAAUGGGCGGAAGCCUGAUGCAGCAACGCCGCGUGCGGGAUGACGGCCUUCGGGUUGUAAACCGCUUUCGCCUGUGACGAAGCGUGAGUGACGGUAAUGGGUAAAGAAGCACCGGCUAACUACGUG